CCCUUAGAUGUUCGGGGCCGCACGCGCGCUACACUGAAGGAAUCAGCACGUCUUUCUCCUUGUCCGAAAGGACUGGGUAACCCGCUGAACCUCCUUCGUGCUAGGGAUUGGGGCUUGUAAUUCUUCCCCAUGAACGAGGAAUUCCCAGUAAGCGCGAGUCAUAAGCUCGCGUUGAUUACGUCCCUGCCCUUUGUACACACCGCCCGUCGCUACUACCGAUUGGAUGGUUUAGUGAGAUCCUCGGAUUGGUCCCGGCGCGGCCUCUGGUCGUGCCGGAGUGCCGAAAAGAAUGUCAAACUUGAUCAUCUAGAGGAAGUAAAAGUCGUAACA
rnacentral:rRNA from 1 species